rnacentral:rRNA from 1 species
AUGGACAGAUCCUGCCGCCGCCAACACGAACGCCACCCUACAACACCACCCGUACGUGAACCUGGGAUUUCACCACCUAGACAGUGUGUCCCGGCAACCAGUUCCGCCUCACGAGCUGCCGUCGAAUUUCGACCGCCUCCAACGCCACCAAGCACCACCUCCAACGCCCCCCCAAAAACCGCCCCAACGUCCACAAUCACCGCCGCCGCCGGAAACCAGGGUGGGAGAAGGGGAAAAAAAUCAGCUUGUCACCGCGCGAUCUCGCCGCCGAGGAAACGCCUGGCUCAUGAUACCGAUUUGUCACGCCCUGGAUGGGAUUGGGAAAGUAGACCAGGGUAA